rnacentral:rRNA from 1 species
UACGGAGGAUGCAAGCGUUAUCCGGAAUGAUUGGGCGUAAAGCGUCCGCAGGUGGCUGUGUAAGUCUGCUGUUAAAGAGUGAGGCUCAACCUCAUAAAGGCAGUGGAAACUACAUGGCUAGAGUGCGUUCGGGGCAGAGGGAAUUCCUGGUGUAGCGGUGAAAUGCGUAGAGAUCAGGAAGAACACCGGUGGCGAAAGCGCUCUACUGGGCCAUAACUGACACUCGGGGACGAAAGCUAGGGGAGCGAAUGGG